GACAGAGGUGCCAAGCGUUAGGCGGAAUCACUGGGCUUAAAGCGUGUGUAGGCGGAUUGGUAAGUACCUUGUGAAAUCCCACAGCUCAACUGUGGAACUGCUUGGUAUACUGCCUAUCUUGAGCCACUUAGGGGCUGUCGGAACAAAUGGUGGAGCGGUGAAAUGCGUAGAUAUCAUUUGGAACGCCAAAGGUGAAAACAGACAGCUGGGAGUGUGCUGACGCUGAGACACGAAAGCCAGGGGAGCGAGCGGG
rnacentral:rRNA from 1 species